GAUGAAGAACGCAGCGAAAUGCGAUACGUAAUGUGAAUUGCAAAUUCAGUGAAUCACCGAGUCUUUGAACGCACAUUGCGCCCCCUGGUAUUCCGGGGGGCAUGCCUGUCCGAGCGUCAUUGCUGCCCUCAAGCACGGCUUGUGUGUUGGGCCCCGUCCUCCGAUCCCGGGGGACGGGCCCGAAAGGCAGCGGCGGCACCGCGUCCGGUCCUCGAGCGUAUGGGGCUUUGUCACCCGCUCUGUAGGCCCGGCCGGCGCUUGCCGAUCAACCCAAAUUUUUUAUCCAGGUUGACCUCGGAUCAGGUAGGGAUACCCGCUGAACUUAAGCAUAUCAAUAAGCGGAGA
rnacentral:misc_RNA from 1 species